GUGGGGAAUAUUGGACAAUGGGCGAAAGCCUGAUCCAGCCAUGCCGCGUGUGUGAAGAAGGUCUUCGGAUUGUAAAGCACUUUAAGUUGGGAGGAAGGGUUGUACGUUAAUACCGUGCAAUUUUGACGUUACCGACAGAAUAAGCACCGGCUAACUUCGUGCCAGCAGCCGCGGUAAUACGAAGGGUGCAAGCGUUAAUCGGAAUUACUGGGCGUAAAGCGCGCGUAGGUGGUUUUGUAAGUUGGAGGUGAAAUCCCCGGGCUCAACCUGGGAACUGCCUCCAAAACUGCAUGACUAGAGUACGGUAGAGGGUAGUGGAAUUUCCUGUGUAGCGGUGAAAUGCGUAGAUAUAGGAAGGAACACCAGUGGCGAAGGCGACUACCUGGACUGAUACUGACACUGAGGUGCGAAAGCGUGGGGAGCAAACAGGAUUAGAAACCCGGGUAGUCC
rnacentral:rRNA from 1 species